GCAUUGGUGGUUCAGUGGUAGAAUACUCGCCUGCCACCCGGGUCCGAUUCCCGGCUAAUGCA
rnacentral:tRNA from 1 species